CCCUGACAGUCGCAUGGUGCGGCUGACAUUUGCCACGACAGGAGGCUCACAUG
rnacentral:ncRNA from 1 species